UACGGAGGGUGCAAACGUUGCUCGGAAUUAUUGGGCGUAAAGCGCACGUAGGUGGUCUAUCAAGUCAGGUGUGAAAGCCCUGGGCUCAACCCAGGAAGUGCACUUGAAACUGACAGGCUUGAGUAUGGAAGAGGUCGCGGAAUUCCCGGUGUAGAGGUGAAAUUCGUAGAUAUCGGAGGAACACCAGUGGCGAAGCGGCGACCUGGCAAUACUGACACUGAGGUGCGAAAGCGUGGGAGCAACAGG
rnacentral:rRNA from 1 species